rnacentral:lncRNA from 10 species
CUGAACUGUUCCAGGAUCUGAUACAUGCAGCAGUGUCUUUGAAGAAUGUUACUAGAGAGAAGCAGGUACAACCUUGUGAUUAUUAUGCUUUGAACUUGAUGCUGUGCUGAACACAUAAAAAGAGCCCUCAUGAUGAGAGAUUGGAAGGAGAAUGAAAGAAAGGAAGCAAGAUCAUCCAGAGAACCAUGAAGUAGUGACCUUCAGUGACCUUCAGUGAUGAGGUCUGGCAUUCAUCAGCAUUCACACAUCUGCAGAAGGGGUAUGAGGGAGAAAUGACUUCAUUAAUUAUUGUGUCACCAAGUUUUUCUUCUCUUGAUUCCUAAGAAGAAGAAACAGAGAUUA